rnacentral:lncRNA from 1 species
UGACUGACAAACCUUCACAGGACUCAAUUAGUGACCCAUUGAACAGCACAGGUGCUCAAAGCACCAUGAAAGCGGAAUUACAUCAACUCCUGCUCCCAGCAGAGGUCUGGACCCUGUGACCAGUUCAUCCUGCCUCCUAAUUAACUUCUCAGGUACAAGGUCUUGCUGCUGUCAUAAUCAGCCCUUUCAAGCUUCCAUGAUGAGACUCUAAAUCUCUUCAGCACACAACAGCUUUGGUGGGUUAAGAGUCAAUUGAAUCUUUUUAGUAAAAACAACCGUCUUCCACUGACCU